AACGUAGGAGGCGAGCGUUAUCCGGAUUUACUGGGUGUAAAGCGCGUGCAGGCGGUUGGUUAAGUUGGGCUGUGAAAGCUCCUGGCUCAACUGGGAGAGGUCGCUCAAGACUGGCCAACUGGAGAGCAGUAGGGGAAGGUGGAAUUCCGGGUGUAGUGGUGAAAUGACGUAGAUAUCCGGAGGAACACCAGUGGCGAAAGCGGCCUUCUGGACUGCAUCUGACGCUCAGACGCGAAAAGCUAGGGGGAGCAAACGGG
rnacentral:rRNA from 1 species